AAUUGAACUAACCCAGUCUCUAUUUCUGGCGGAUCAGAACUUUGGAUUUGUUGAAUUAAAUGCCUCAUUUAGUACCGUUUGCACAUGAAAAGAAACCCUGCGCUCAGGAAUCUGAUAGUGAAUUUUUCACCUAACCAACAGUGCAUUUUAAGUAUAUUACAUACAUGAAACAAAGAUCUCGAAGGAGCAGCUGCUGAAUCCUUAACGAAAAACAUCGUGACUCAAAUCCACCGAGCAGGAGGCAGGUAUUGGGUUUGCUGAGAAUGUCGCAGCGGAUAAUCACAAACAUAGCCCGGGACCUGACUCCUGAGUGUCAAUCGAGAUCCCGGCCAAGACUGGGCAACGAUGAUUUAAUGGGGUGGGUGCGAGGGAGCCACCAUCUCCCUAUGACCUUGAGUCCCCAGGGCUCCUCCUCUGGACACACAAACAAAAAAGAAAAAGAAACCAUCAAGAUUCAGGAAGAUGAUUCUCUCCCCCAGACCUGUGUGCUGCUAAUUCACAAGUAGUGCACUUGCAGAUUAAAAUAAAUAAAUAAAUAAAAUCCUCUUGAAUGAGGACUGCUUCCAUU